rnacentral:rRNA from 1 species
GUGAGGAAUAUUGGGCAAUGGUCGGAAGACUGACCCAGCCAUGCCGCGUGCAGGAAGACGGCCCUCUGGGUUGUAAACUGCUUUUAUCUGGGAAGAAAAAGGCCAUGCGUGGCAAAUUGCCGGUACCAGAUGAAUAAGCACCGGCUAACUCCGUGCCAGCAGCCGCGGUAAUACGGAGGGUGCGAGCGUUGUCCGGAUUUAUUGGGUUUAAAGGGUGCGUAGGCGGCUGAUUAAGUCAGCGGUGAAAGACUUCGGCUUAACCGGAGCAGUGCCGUUGAUACUGGUUGGCUUGAGUGUCGGAGAGGUACAUGGAAUUGAUGGUGUAGCGGUGAAAUGCAUAGAUACCAUCAGGAACACCGAUAGCGAAGGCAUUGUACUGGCCGACAACUGACGCUGAUGCACGAAAGUGUGGGGAUCGAACAGGAUUAGAUACCCCAGUAGUCC